rnacentral:lncRNA from 1 species
UUUAGCUUUAUGUUCAAUUGCAAAAUUGCUUAACAAAUAUAUUCACUACAACACAGCAACACAAUUCAGGACAUUGAAUUCAGAAAAAUUUAUUAAUAAUAGGUGCCGCAUAUAGACGGAACACCGCAACCAAAUACAACAUUACAAAUAAACACCUCAGCUGUGACAGUAACAAGUUACAAAACCAUAGCUUAAACUAGCAGCAAACAGACCCUAUACUCCAAAUCAAUAGUCCUAUGUUUGAUUACAAUUCACUACAUCUAUAACUCCAAUUCUUC